GGAUGUGAGGGCGAUCUGGCUGUGACAUCUGUCACCCCAUUGAUCGCCAGGGUUGAUUCGGCUGAUCUGGCUGGCUAGGAGGGUGUCCCCUUCCUCCCUCAACGUUCCCCGUGCAGCCCUCCCGAAGCUGUGCGUUCAGUCAAAGAGGACGAAGAGGACGACCUUCCCCGAUAGAGGAGGACCAGUCUUUGGUCAAGGGUAUACAAGUAGCUGCGCUCCCCUGCUAGAACCUCCAAACAAGCUCUCGAGGUCCAUUUGUAGGAGAACAUAGGGUAGUCAAGUUUCCAAGACUCCAGACACAUCCAAAUGAGGCACUGCACGUGGUAGUCUGCCUUUCUUU
rnacentral:snRNA from 1 species